GUUUUUCUAUAGUGCGAUUUUAAAGAAUAUCGUAUCGAUUCCUUUUCGCUUCUGACGAUGCAUUUACAUGUCUACACAAUGCGUACAUAAUGGUCACGUGCGUCAUGCGGGCUAUAGGUCAUAUGCGUAAAUAAUGCAUAUAAUUAUAAAUGCUCUCUUCGACACAAGAAUGAGCAUCCCUCCCCUUAUAUAGCAUUUCAUGGUAAUAUUGAUACUUACCAUAUAAGCGUCUUUCAUAUUCUGCACUAUUUUCCAAUUGAUUAGACAGUGUCUUGUUAGAAGGCUAGACGAUCGAACAAUCUCUCGUUAAUUCCGUAAUUAAUUGUGUUCCAAAUUUAUUGAAUUCAAGAAAACGGUCGAAUAGAAUGUUAGAAAAGUUAAUAAAGUUAUUUUUCGUAUUUGUUACCAUCGAAGCAUUUUCCCUUUCAUCGACAAAUCAUAAAAAUGUUACGAUUGAAAGCGAUACGAUUGUUUAUCGAUUACCGACGAAUAUUGUACCAAUACAUUACGAUUUGAAAUUGGAAUCAAAUAUCAUGGUGGGUGAUUUUAAUUUUACCGGUGAAAUAGACAUUAAGAUCGAGGUUCGAGAGCCUACGAAGUUAGUAUUGUUAAAUUGGAAGAAUCUUACGAUAAAUGAAAUGCAGAGCCAUUUGGAAAAGGACAAUGGCGAAUCACUUUCACCGAAGGAGCAUCGUUACGAAUCGUAUAGAGAAAUGUUAACGCUCGUUUUUGACAAAAUCAUCGAUCCUGCUGUUUACACUUUACAUUUGAAAUUCUCAGGCGUUCUUUCGACAGACUUAUAUGGCUUUUUCCGAUCCUCUUACAUUAACGAGAACGGUGAUACAACGUGGUUUGCGGUAACUCAUUUUCAACCUAUAAGUGCACGUCGUGCUUUUCCCUGCUGGGACGAACCAGCAUUUAAAGCAACUUUUAACAUUUCCCUGAAACAUCAUGCCAAUUAUACGGCCCUUUCAAAUAUGCCAGUAUUCGAACGAUCGUUUACUGACGAAAGUAAUAAUACAGUAUGGACUCGUUUCGAGAAGACUCCGAUUAUGGCAACCAAUAUCUUAGCCUUUAUAAUUUCCGACUUCGAACAUAUUUCUAUACCCGAAAGAAACAUUAAGAUUUGGGCAAGGAAAUCAGUCAUUCCAUCGAUAUAUUUUUUACUCGAAGUCAUUCAGAAAAUAGAUGACGAAUUGAACAAAUACAUGCCAAAUUUUAUAAUGGUACCCAAAAUUGAUCAUGUUGCUCUUCCUUAUUAUAGUAGCCAGGGCACGGAAAAUUGGGGUCUUAUCACGUAUAGAGAAAAAUCACUCGUGUAUAAAAAGAACGAAACUACCAUAGAUGAAAUGGAUAGAAUCCUGAUGCUAAUUGCUCAUGAAUUGGCGCAUCAGUGGUUUGGUAAUCUGGUUGGUCCACGCUGGUGGAAAUACAUGUGGAUGAGCGAAGGUUUUGCCGCGUACUUUCAAUAUUACAUAACGGACAAGGCUUUCAAUGACACACGAAUGAUGGAUAAAUUCCUCUUAGAAGCUAUGCAAGAGAUUGCCUUCCACGUGGAUACCUGUCCGGAUCAAUCUCCGAUGAAUAACAAUGUUAGUAGACCUUCGGACAUUCCUUACAUCUAUUCCCUUAUCACUUAUCGUAAAGCACCAAUUGUUUUACGAAUGUUGUCGCAUUGUAUAUCUAAGGAAAUUUUCAAGGCCGGUCUUCUCAAAUAUAUUUCUGAAAAUAAAUACAAUACCACUGUACCAGACGACUUAUGGCGAUCCUUGCAAGUUGUUCUGAACCAGUCAAAUGUGCCACACGAGGAUUUCGAAAUAAAAACGAUGAUGGAUACUUGGACGGAACAAGAAGGAUAUCCUACAAUUGUCGUGAAUCGAGAUUACGAUACCGGUACAGUGCAAGUGCGACAAUUUAGUAGUAAGUCAUCAUCACCAUCUAAUCAAGUGUGUUAUAACAAAUGGUGGGUCCCUUUGAAUUUUGCAACCCAAACUAAUCCUGAUUUUUCAUCCACUUUACCGACACACUGGUUGAAUCCAUCGGAGGAUACGAAGACGAUCAAAAGUUUGCCUACGGAUGGUUGGAUUAUUUUUAAUAUUCAACAAACUGGUUAUUAUCGCGUGCACUACGAUCAAGAAAACUGGAAGAGAAUAGCACGAUAUUUAAAUUCCGAUGAUUACAAGAAUAUACACGUUUUAAAUCGCAUUCAAAUAAUUGAUGAUGCAUUUAACAGCGUAAUGGGAAACGAUAUACCUAUCUCUAUCUUCGGAAUGAUAAUAAAUUAUCUUUCGCAGGAAACCGAUCCAAUAGUGUGGAAAGUUGUGUUUCGUAUAUUUUCACAGAUGAAUUAUUAUAUUGAAACUCCCAGAACUGCCGCUAUUCUCAAGCCAUAUUUACAACGUCUUCUUAAUGAUAAAUUAAAAGAUAUGGAUUACAAUGAUAAUCCGGAAGAAGAUUCUUGGUCGAGAAGAAUGAAACAGAUUAUUAAACAUAUCGCUUGUAAAAUCGACGUUCCUGAAUGUUACGGAAAUGCCACUACUCAAUUAGUUGAAUAUCUUAAAAAUCCAAAAUCAAUAAUUAUACAACCAGAUUCACAAAAAUGGGUUUUCUGUUCUGGAUUACGAAAUGCGAACGAGUCUGUAUGGAAUGGAGUUUUAAAUAAUUACGUGAAAGAUCGAAAAAGACAAUUGUUAACAUAUCUCACGUGCUCGGAGAACCGGACUAUUUUAAAUAACUACUUGGUUAUGACCUUUUCUGAAGAUUCUCCAAUCUCUAAAUCUGAUAUUGAAACUGUAUUAAACGAUAUGAUGAUUAAAUCGGAGAUCAGCUUUGAUACACUGGUGGAUUUCAUUAGCAAGAAUUUAAAUGAAAUAUUUUUUACGUAAUGACAAACGUUCUUUAAAGUUUUAUUUACAAAAAAUAAUCUAACACGGAUUACUACGAGAGAACAACUUAAAAAGAUGAUAGCUAUAUUUGCAUCUAAAGAGAAGCCACUGAAUAAAAUGAUAUAUUAUUUUGAAAGGAAGUUGGUUCAAAUUGAUGAAAUUAUACCAAUCUUUCAAGAGUUCGUUCAAACUGCAGUCAAUUAAUGUAAAACGAUGAUACAAAUUUAACAAAUAAAUCCAUCGAAAUACCUAUCUACCUCAA